GAGGAGAGGGGGGAGGGUUAGCGGUGGUGGCGGCGGCAUAAGGGGAGGGCGAAGGCGUAGGGGCGGCAGCGCGGCGCAGUCCGCGAGAAGCCGCCUUCUCAUCCCAACUCCCACGGGCGCUCUGACAGUUGCUCCCCUCACUCGCGGCCGCGCCUCCGCUCGCCCGGGCGUCGAGCUCGCCGGUGCCACUAGUCGGGACUCCUCCGGCACCUCACCCAGUUCUUCCUGGCCUCCGCGGACGAGGUGCAGCAGAUGGCGCAGCCGCUAGAACUGUUCUGAUAGUUCAAAAUAUGCCUCACGAAUCCCUACUUCGACGACGCCUCUUCCCUGUAGGGCCUCCUCUCCAUGUGGUUGCGGAAAGAACCCAUGCCUGGUCUCCUGAGCGUAAAACAACACCUCGAGUGAAUGUUGAUACCACAGCUUUCAAUGCUAUAACCCAGACCAAAACCAGUAAAACCUUAACGACAACUCCUACAGCUUUUUUGUCACCUUGAAUAAUUUCGUUUCCCUCCUUGUCAUUGUUCCCUUGGUCCAGGCCAUUUUCCACCUUUCAGUCAGUAACGGAAGUAACUUCUAGGACUACCAAUGUUUAAGCUCGAAUAUCUUUCUCCAGGGUGUGGACUCGGAAACACGGUUCAUUACGAAGCUCACCCUCUAGAACUGGCACGAUAUUCAAAGAUACUCUUCCGUAAACCAUACCUUGAAGAAGCGUCCUUUCUGUUAGGAGUUAUGUUCAUAUGGUAACGAUACUACCCUAUACCGGGACUUCUGUUUGUACGACAUGACCUCAACUGUAUGUUAAUACCACAGUUCCUUAUACUAUUUCCUUUACGAAUACGUGUCUAACGAUAACCAUGACUACUACAGAUGUUCUGGCGCCUUCAGCAAUCUGUUUUGCCCCCUGUUUAUUGAGCACUUGGACCAGGUAAUGGACCGUAAUCAUGGUUCUAUUGACGGACGUGUCUAGGUCUACCGACCUUUAGUCAUAAACAACUGUUAGAUCUAAAAGAGUUCCUCAACCUUCUUACUCAAAAGUCCUUCUACAGUAGAAGCUUGUCCAAAGUAACCCGAAAAAGGAGCUCAACGAUCGUGGGGGGUUACUUUAGAACAUUUUCGGAGAUUCGCUCCAAACAUCUAUCCAACAGGUUAGAUGACACAGUAGCGACCAACAAGUAUCCCUUAAUCCAAACGAUGAAGAAUACUACAUCUACACGUUAGGCAAAACAAUCGCCUCAUUUUAAUAUACACGUAAAAUAAGAAGACUGUUCGGUCUGUCAUAAGGGUCCAUACGUAAACAAGGACGUAAGUCUUAAACUCUACUUGAUUAGAAACGUGUACUCGAGUAAGAAACGAGCAAGUUU
rnacentral:rRNA from 1 species